UACGGGAGGCAGCAGUAGGGAAUCUUCCACAAUGGACGAAAGUCUGAUGGAGCAACGCCGCGUGAGUGAAGAAGGUUCUCGGAUCGUAAAACUCUGUUGUGAGGGAAGAACAAGUACCGGAGUAACUGCCGGUACCUUGACGGUACCUCAUUAGAAAGCCACGGCUAACUACGUGCCAGCAGCCGCGGUAAUACGUAGGUGGCAAGCGUUGUCCGGAAUCAUUGGGCGUAAAGCGCGCGCAGGCGGUCCCUUAAGUCUGAUGUGAAAGCCCACGGCUCAACCGUGGAGGGUCAUUGGAAACUGGGGGACUUGAGUGCAGAAGAGGAAAGCGGAAUUCCAAGUGUAGCGGUGAAAUGCGUAGAGAUUUGGAGGAACACCAGUGGCGAAGGCGGCUUUCUGGUCUGUAACUGACGCUGAGGCGCGAAAGCGUGGGGAGCAAACAGGAUUAGAUACCCUGGUAGUCCACGCCGUAAACGAUGAGUGCUAAGUGUUAGGGGGUUUCCGCCCCUUAGUGCUGCAGCUAACGCAUUAAGCACU
rnacentral:rRNA from 1 species